rnacentral:rRNA from 1 species
GAUGAACGCUGGCGGCGUGCCUAAUACAUGCAAGUCGAGCGAACAGACGAGGAGCUUGCUCCUUUGACGUUAGCGGCGGACGGGUGAGUAACACGUGGAUAACCUACCUAUAAGACUGGGAUAACUUCGGGAAACCGGAGCUAAUACCGGAUAACAUGUUGAACCGCAUGGUUCAACAGUGAAAGACGGUCUUGCUGUCACUUAUAGAUGGAUCCGCGCCGCAUUAGCUAGUUGGUAAGGUAACGGCUUACCAAGGCAACGAUGCGUAGCCGACCUGAGAGGGUGAUCGGCCACACUGGAACUGAGACACGGUCCAGACUCCUACGGGAGGCAGCAGUAGGGAAUCUUCCGCAAUGGGCGAAAGCCUGACGGAGCAACGCCGCGUGAGUGAAGAAGGUCUUCGGAUCGUAAAACUCUGUUAGUAGGGAAGAACAAAUGUGUAAGUAACUAUGCACGUCUUGACGGUACCUAAUCAGAAAGCCACGGCUAACUACGUG